GAAAUGCGAUAAGUAAUGUGAAUUGCAGAAUUCAGUGAAUCAUCGAAUCUUUGAACGCACAUUGCGCCCGCCAGUAUUCUGGCGGGCAUGCCUGUUCGAGCGUCAUUACAACCCUCAGGCCCCCGGGCCUGGCGUUGGGGAUCGGCGGAAGCCCCCUGCGGGCACAACGCCGUCCCCCAAAUACAGUGGCGGUCCCGCCGCAGCUUCCAUUGCGUAGUAGCCAACACCUCGCAACUGGAGAGCGGCGCGGCCACGCCGUAAAACACCCAACUUCUGAAUGUUGACCUCGAAUCAGGUAGGAAUACCCGCUGAACUUAAGC
rnacentral:misc_RNA from 1 species